GAUGAAGAACGUAGCGAAAUGCGAUACGUAAUGAGAAUUGCAGAAUUCAGUGAAUCAUCGAAUCUUUGAACGCAUAUUGCGCUCUCUGGUAUUCCGGAGAGCAUGCUUGUUUGAGUAUCAGUAAACACCUCAACUUCCAUAUCUUUUUUGAAAUGGGAGUUGGACUUGAGUGAUCCCAACGCUUUUCCUCACCGAAAAGUGGCGGGUUACUUGAAAUGCAGGUGCAGCUGGACUUUUCUCUGAGCUAUAAGCAUAUCUAUUUAGUCUGCCUAAAAAACAGAUUAUUACCUUUGCUGCAGCUAACAUAAAGGAGAUUAGUUCUUGUGCUGACUGAUGCAGGAUUCACAAAGACAGGCUUCGGCCGACUUUGUAAACUCGAUCUCAAAUCAAGUAAGACUACCCGCUGAACUUAAGCAUAUCAAUAAGCGGAGGA
rnacentral:misc_RNA from 1 species